rnacentral:lncRNA from 1 species
UUGCACCCUACAGUAGACGCACGACUCCCUUUCUCCCAUCACUUUUUGCCGUCAAUUGAAAUCCCCAAAUACCAUUCACUAUUUUUUGUCCCCAUUUCUUUUAUGAUUUUGAUUUUUAUCAUCUUCCAAACAUUAAACCUCCUUUGAAUUCAAAAGAGAACAUCAUAAUUUCAUUGGUUUUUUCCAAGUAAGUUUUCUCGAAAUUCAAUCAACUGUUCGUUGUUUUCCUCAAUCGGGGUAAGGUUUUGCUUUUCUAAUAUUUUUUAAUGUAGUCUAGCCUUUCAAAUCAAGUUUUAAUCUGUUGAAUCAUAGAUUUUGUGUGUUAGUUAAAAUUAGGGUCAUUAAUGACAAAAUUUAGAUUUUUUAAACAAAACUAUUAUUUCUACGUAUUUUUCAACUUGAUUAGGUGAGAUUAGAAUUUUUUUAAACUUUUGUUAAAGAAUUUUAAGAUUAUAUUGAUUUUUCACUAAAAGUAGCCAUGAAAGUCAAAAUUUUCCAGAACCAUAAAUCUGAGAAGUUCUGGGUGUUUUAAAGGUUGAGAAUUGUUCUUAAGUGAGUCGUCAGAUUAUUAGAAUUGAUUUUAAGCAAAGGGAAUUAGUUCAAGUUAAGAAAUUUGAGUUACUACUAUACUAGUCGAAAAUUUCGGUUCCAAGAGGAGCUAGUUUAAACCUGCAUUUUUGUUUAAUUUGAGAUGUGUUAUUGGCUUUUAAUUGUUUGUGUAUGUUGUGUGGUUAACAUUUCUGAAGAUUCAGAAUCGUUGGAGCUCUCUUCAAGCAAGGCGAAAGGCAAGGAAAAACUAGUUUGAACUUUCGGCUAAUAAGCGAAAACGCAAUUUGUGAGUGUUUUGGAGUCACUACUAGUAUGCACGAUUCAUUGUGUUAAAUGGGAGCUUAGGUUAGCUUAAACAUCUAUCCUAAGUUCCGAGUGUAAGCUUUCUUACUCUCUUUUUUUCAUUUUGCAAAAUUGUGACUGUGUAAUCUGAAAUGAGUAUCAUGAUGUAUUAGUGCAGCAAAUAAUGUGUGAUUGUGAGCAUGUGAUGUGAAAUUUCUAGCUUAUGCUUAUAUAUGUUACUUAAAGUGGCUAUAGCUUAUAGAACUUUAUGUUAACACUUGUGAGUGCAUAAAUAGGAAGUAUGGUAAGCAUGAUAUAAUGAUUAAGAACAGUAAAAAUGUGAAUUGAAAUGGUAAGUAAAAAUGUGUGUAUUAGUGGAUAUUUUGGCUUUGUGAUAUCUUGAGAUUGUUGGAUGUAGUUGGCAUGCCAUAGGAUUUGUGAGUACUCACCAUUGUGUUGUGAUUUGGGGUAUUGAGGCUUGGAACAAUUUUGAGAGAUAAGGAAAUGUGAGAUAUGCUCCAUUCAUUGGGACAUGUUGGUGUGUUGAAGAAUGUUAGCUUGAUGCUACACUUAUGGGAUAUGUUGGACUCUUUGAAUUAUUGGUGUGAUGGAGAUUCGUGUAUCCAAUGUAUGGUGAUAGAGCUCACUCUUAUGCUUCAAAGUCUCAAGUUACCAAAUUAUCAUAAAUGAUUUUUACAUAAAUUAUGAUAUAUGUAAAUUCAUGAAAAAUGAAAGCUAAUUACUUGAGUUAAUGAUGCAUGAACAUGGUAAAUUUUUUAUUAUGUAUGUGCUUGAGAAUGACCUUGAUUUAACCGGUGUUGAUAUGCAUGCUUGUGGUAAUUUUCGAUACAUUGACUGAGCUUGUUUAAGCUCACACACUCAUCACUAAAUUCUUGUAGAUAGUUAGCAUUGUCAGUGUGAGCGGUGUGACCAAGGAAGUGAUCCAAGUUAGGGAAUAAACAUUUGAGUAUGUAGUGUUAUAAAUUUUGGGUAUUUUGAAUAAUGACAAAUGUGGUUAGAGUUUUGGUUGGUUUUCAUCAUAAUUUUUUAUUGGUUUAUUAUGAUUUUGGACUUUUGAAGUAUUGGUAUUGCUUGGGAUUAUGUUUAUGAAUAAUUUGAUGACUGAUAUUGUGUUUGAUAAUGCAUGUUCGAAAGGAAUAAUGUUUGUGCAUGAAUGUUUCCCUGUUUUGUUGUGUUUUUGCUUAUUUGUACAGAGGUAUCGAUACUCGAGGCAUAAAUAUCGAUACCUCGAUGUUGGAACGUAUGUGUAGGAAAAAUAAUAGCUCAAUUAUACCCAUUCACGAGUAUCGAUACUCAUGGAAGAAAUAUUGAUACCCAUGCCUAAGUAUUGGGUAAAAUGUUUUGAAUCAAAAUUUGGUAGAAUGCUAAUUUGGUAUUGAUUUUCUUAUUAGUAUUGACACCUAAUUUACUAAAUAUCGAUACUUGCAAUUUUGUAUCGAUACCUAUGCUGAUUUCUUUAGAAUUUUAAUAAAUGAGCCUUAAUUAUAUAUUAAACUGUUUCUAAUAUCGUAUUGUCUAAAUUAGACAUGAACACUUCUAUAAAUGCUUAAACUUAGUAGCUGUUAUUCAUAAUUGAAGCUGUGUGAGCAUGUUUGUAAGAUUUGAUGUUUGUUGUAACGUCUUGUUACUCGAGUCCAGCAACCAGGCCGGGUGACAUGUGUUACAACAUUUGUUUUAAAUUCUAAGGUUAUUUGUAUCAUUGGUUUAGCCCAUACGAGUAACCUCGAUAUGAUGUUAGCUUGUGUGAACAAUUCCCUUAAAAUAUCAACUUGUGUGAGCAACCCUGAAAUACUGUAAACUUGUGUGAGCAUUAUAUUCCUGUGUAUCUUAGUCUAUUUUACUACAGCUCCAUCAGGCGAUGUUCAUUUGAUUGGAAAUGAAAUUUAAAUCAUGAAUUGAAAAUGAAAUGGUAUUGAUGAUACUUGACAUAUAGAUUGCUAUAUGAUUAUGUUUUAAAUGUUGAAAGUAUUUAUAUUAAAGAACAUAACUAACGUAUUCAAUUUGUGGUGAUGUUGCCUGUAUAAAUAUGUUUUCAUGUGCCAAGGAAAGUUAAUUUGGUAGCCAAAUAGAAUAUUUUUUUACUUUAAUGAUCAAGGUAAGCUUUAGUUUCCAUAUGAGCUCACUAAGUAUUUUAUAUGUUUACUUAGUUUGUUUUCCCUUUUCCAUGUAGAUUGUCAAAUUGUGGAACACGUCAAGCUGGAUCAAUGCAAAGCUCACACUAUCCUAUCCUGGAAUCUAUAGCUUUUUGGUCAUUUCAAGUUAGGGAUUAUGGCAUGUAUAAAAGUAUUUUGGCAUGUACAUUCAUGUAUAGAAUGUUUUGAUGAGUUUGGUAACUUGUAAUGUUUUGGUGUUUUGAAUUCAUAUAUAGAGAUGAAUAUAUAUGCAUUUCAUGCUUGAUGAUGUG